UACAGAGGGUGCGAGCGUUGUUCGGAAUUAUUGGGCGUAAAGCGCUGGUAGGUGGUCUCUUAAGUCGCGUGUGAAAGCUCCAGGCUCAACCUGGAAAGUGCGCGCGAAACUGGGGGACUUGAGUGCCGGAGAGGGUCGCGGAAUUCCCGGUGUAGAGGUGAAAUUCGUAGAUAUCGGGAGGAACACCAGAGGCGAAGGCGGCGACCUGGAAGGUAACUGACACUGAGCAGCGAAAGCGUGGGGAGCAAACAGG
rnacentral:rRNA from 1 species